rnacentral:misc_RNA from 1 species
GAUGAAGAACGCAGCGAAAUGCGAUAAGUAAUGUGAAUUGCAGAAUUCAGUGAAUCAUCGAAUCUUUGAACGCACAUUGCGCCCGCCAGUAUUCUGGCGGGCAUGCCUGUUCGCGUCAUUACAACCCUCAGGCCCCCGGGCCUGGCGUUGGGGAUCGGCGGAAGCCCCCUGCGGGCACAACGCCGUCCCCCAAAUACAGUGGCGGUCCCGCCGCAGCUUCCAUUGCGUAGUAGCUAACACCUCGCAACUGGAGAGCGGCGCGGCCACGCCGUAAAACACCCAACUUCUGAAUGUUGACCUCGAAUCAGGUAGGAAUACCCGCUGAACUUAAGCAUAUCAAUAAGCGGAGGA